GAUGAACGCUAGCUACAGGCUUAACACAUGCAAGUCGAGGGGAAACGGUAGAGAAAGCUUGCUUUUUCUAGGCGUCGACCGGCGCACGGGUGAGUAACGCGUAUCCAACCUGCCCACCACUUGGGGAUAACCUUGCGAAAGUAAGACUAAUACCCAAUGAUAUCUCAAGAAGACAUCUGAAUGAGAUUAAAGAUUUAUCGGUGAUGGAUGGGGAUGCGUCUGAUUAGCUUGUUGGCGGGGUAACGGCCCACCAAGGCGACGAUCAGUAGGGGUUCUGAGAGGAAGGUCCCCAACAUUGGAACUGAGACACGGUCCAAACUCCUACGGGAGGCAGCAGUGAGGAAUAUUGGUCAAUGGGCGAGAGCCUGAACCAGCCAAGUAGCGUGCAGGAUGACGGCCCUAUGGGUUGUAAACUGCUUUUAUAAGGGAAUAAAGUGAGUCUCGUGAGGCUUUUUGCAUGUACCUUAUGAAUAAGGACCGGCUAAUUCCGUGCCAGCAGCCGCCGCCG
rnacentral:rRNA from 1 species